rnacentral:rRNA from 1 species
UACGGGGGGGGCAAGCGUUGUUCGGAAUUACUGGGCGUAAAGGGCUCGUAGGCGGCCAACUAAGUCGGAUGUGAAAUCCCCAGGCUCAACCUGGGAACUGCAUCCGAUACUGGAUGGCUUGAAUCCGGGAGAGGGAUGCAGAAUUCCAGGUGUAGCGGUGAAAUGCGUAGAUAUCUGGAGGAAUACCGGUGGCGAAGGCGGCCCCCUGGUUGGAUACUGACGCUGAUACGCGAAAGCGUGGGGAGCAAACAGG